UUGGACGGCAAGUCUGGUGCCAGCAGCCGCGGUAAUUCCAGCUCCAAUAGCGUAUAUUAAAGUUGUUGCAGUUAAAAAGCUCGUAGUUGAAUUUCGGGGUUAGUAGAUUGGUCAUGCCACUGGUAUGUACUUGUCUUACUGAUUCCUCCUUCCUGAUGAACCGUAAUGCCAUUAACUUGGUGUCGCGGGGAGACUGGACUGUUACUUUGAAAAAAUUAGAGUGUUUAAAGCAGGCUAACGCUUGAAUACAUUAGCAUGGAAUAAUGAAAUAGGACGUUCGAUCCUAUUUUGUUGGUUUCUAGGAUUGACGUAAUGAUUAAUAGGGAUAGUUGGGGGCAUUAGUAUUCAAUUGUCAGAGGUGAAAUUCUUGGAUUUAUUGAAGACUAACUACUGCGAAAGCAUUUGCCAAGGAUGUUUUCAUUAAUCAAGAACGAAAGUUAGGGGAUCGAAGACGAUCAGAUACCGUCGUAGUCUUAACCAUAAACUAUGCCGACUAGGGAUCGGGUGAUGUUAAUUUUUUAAUGACUCAUUCGGCGCCUUACGGGAAACCAAAGUGUUUGGGUUC
rnacentral:rRNA from 1 species